rnacentral:pre_miRNA from 1 species
NNAAUAUAAGAACCCGUCUCUUAACUUUUAACUAAAAAAACUAAGAACCGGUUCUUAAAUAUUUAAGAACCGGUUCUUAGUUUUUUUAGUUAAAAGUUAAGAGACGGGUUCUUAUAUUUC